GAGCUCAGUGGUAGAGCAUCUGUUUUGUACAGUUUUGCACACAGAACGUCCUAAGUUCAAUCCUCGGCU